rnacentral:rRNA from 1 species
GCCGGUGAUAAGCCGGAGGAAGGCGGGAUGACGUCAAGUCCUCAUGGCCCUUACGGGCUGGGCUACACACGUACUACAAUGGUGGUGACAGUGGGAUGCGAAAGCGCGAGCUGGAGCGAAUCCCCAAAAGCCAUCUCAGUUCGGAUUGCACUCUGCAACUCGAGUGCAUGAAGUUGGAAUCGCUAGUAAUCGUGGAUCAGAAUGCCACGGUGAAUACGUUCCCGGGCCUU